rnacentral:rRNA from 1 species
AGGGAAUAGAUACCCAGGUAGUCCUGGCCUUAAACGAUGGAUGCUUGGUGUCUGGAGUUUUAUAGUCUCCGGGUGCCGCAGCUAACGCGUUAAGCAUCCCGCCUGGGGAGUACGGUCGCAAGACUGAAACUCAAAGGAAUUGACGGGGACCCGCACAAGCGGUGGAGCAUGUGGUUCAAUUCGACGCAACGCGAAGAACCUUACCUGGGCUAGAAUGCCUCUGACAGCCGUAGAGAUACGGUCUCCUAGGGAAACCUAGGCAGAGUGCAAGGUGCUGCAUGGCUGUCGUCAGCUCGUGUCGUAAGAUGUUGGGUUAAGUCCCGCAACGAGCGCAACCCUUAUCGAUAGUUGCUAGCGGUUCGGCCGAGCACUCUAUUGAGACUGCCGUUGACAAAACGGAGGAAGGUGGGGAUGACGUCAAGUCCUCAUGGCCUUUAUGUCCAGGGCUACACACGUGCUACAAUGGCCGGUACAAAGCGCUGCAAACUCGCGAGAGGGAGCCAAUCGCAAAAAGCCGGUCUCAGUUC